AUUGAACGCUGGCGGCAGGCCUAACACAUGCAAGUCGAACGAGUGGCGGACGGGUGAGUAAUGUCUGGGAAACUGCCCGAUGGAGGGGGAUAACUACUGGAAACGGUAGCUAAUACCGCAUACCAUCGGAUGUGCCCAGAUGGGCUUAGCUAGUAGGUGGGGUAACGGCUCACAGAGUCGACGAGCCCUAGCUGGUCUGAGAGGAUGAGCAGCGACACUGGAACUGAGACACGGUCCAGACGCCUACGGGAGGCAGCAGUGGGGAAUAUUGCACAAUGGGCGCAAGCCUGAUGCAGACAUGCCGCGUGUAUGAAGAAGGACUUCGGGUUGUAAAGUACUUUCAUCGAGGAGGCGUUACUCGCAGAAGAAGCACCGGCUAACUCCGUGCCAGCAGCCGCGGUAAUAC
rnacentral:rRNA from 1 species